CCACAGCCAUAGCACCCUGAACACACCAAAUCUCAUUUGAUCUCAGAAGCUAAGCAGGGAUGGGCCUAGUUAGUACUUGCAUGGGAGA
rnacentral:rRNA from 1 species